CUCAUUAUCUACUCUGCUAAUGAGGUAGGAUCCGAAAGACUCUUCUAACCAAACCCCUAUUCCGUCACGUCCUCGUCGUGCAGUGUGGUGACUUCCGCCCCCCGCAUGACCAAUCUUGGGUACAAGGGUUACUCCCAGCCACUUGGGCAGAUGGUGGAGCAUGGCUGAACGGGAGGGA
rnacentral:ribozyme from 1 species